rnacentral:lncRNA from 1 species
AAUUUUUAAGGCAAAUUUUUGCCCGACUUUUAUUCUUAAAUCAGUUAUUUUAUUUUAUUUUUCUUUGUCAAAAUAUCCAAAUUAAUUAAUUAGAAUUUUCUCUAUAUAUUUAGUUUGAAUUUGGAUAAUGAAUUUUUAAAUAUAUAUAUAUUUUUUAAUAAUAGGUAAUAAUAAUGGUUGACAAAUUAAAUAUAUUUUUUUGACAUUGGAUUCUCUUUUUAAAAAAAAUAAUAAUAAAAUAAAAAUAAAAUAAUAAAUAAUAAUAAUAGCCAGCAUUGAACAGAUUUUUUUGACAGUUGGCAAAAUCCACCUAUUUCCUCACGUCUAUCUCACUCUCACACGUUAUCCCCAAAUCCUCACAAAUCCCUAUCUUCUCUCAACAUGUUACCUCUCC